rnacentral:rRNA from 1 species
AAAUUGAAGAGUUUGAUCAUGGCUCAGAUUGAACGCUGGCGGCAGGCCUAACACAUGCAAGUCGAGCGGUAGCACAGAGAGCUUGCUCUCGGGUGACGAGCGGCGGACGGGUGAGUAAUGUCUGGGAAACUGCCUGAUGGAGGGGGAUAACUACUGGAAACGGUAGCUAAUACCGCAUAAUGUCGCAAGACCAAAGUGGGGGACCUUCGGGCCUCAUGCCAUCAGAUGUGCCCAGAUGGGAUUAGCUAGUAGGUGGGGUAAUGGCUCACCUAGGCGACGAUCCCUAGCUGGUCUGAGAGGAUGACCAGCCACACUGGAACUGAGACACGGUCCAGACUCCUACGGGAGGCAGCAGUGGGGAAUAUUGCACAAUGGGCGCAAGCCUGAUGCAGCCAUGCCGCGUGUGUGAAGAAGGCCUUCGGGUUGUAAAGCACUUUCAGCGGGGAGGAAGGCGAUAAGGUUAAUAACCUCAUCGAUUGACGUUACCCGCAGAAGAAGCACCGGCUAACUCCGUGCCAGCAGCCGCGGUAAUACGGAGGGUGCAAGCGUUAAUCGGAAUUACUGGGCGUAAAGCGCACGCAGGCGGUCUGUCAAGUCGGAUGUGAAAUCCCCGGGCUCAACCUGGGAACUGCAUUCGAAACUGGCAGGCUAGAGUCUUGUAGAGGGGGGUAGAAUUCCAGGUGUAGCGGUGAAAUGCGUAGAGAUCUGGAGGAAUACCGGUGGCGAAGGCGGCCCCCUGGACAAAGACUGACGCUCAGGUGCGAAAGCGUGGGGAGCAAACAGGAUUAGAUACCCUGGUAGUCCACGCCGUAAACGAUGUCGAUUUGGAGGUUGUGCCCUUGAGGCGUGGCUUCCGGAGCUAACGCGUUAAAUCGACCGCCUGGGGAGUACGGCCGCAAGGUUAAAACUCAAAUGAAUUGACGGGGGCCCGCACAAGCGGUGGAGCAUGUGGUUUAAUUCGAUGCAACGCGAAGAACCUUACCUGGUCUUGACAUCCACAGAACUUUCCAGAGAUGGAUUGGUGCCUUCGGGAACUGUGAGACAGGUGCUGCAUGGCUGUCGUCAGCUCGUGUUGUGAAAUGUUGGGUUAAGUCCCGCAACGAGCGCAACCCUUAUCCUUUGUUGCCAGCGGUUCGGCCGGGAACUCAAAGGAGACUGCCAGUGAUAAACUGGAGGAAGGUGGGGAUGACGUCAAGUCAUCAUGGCCCUUACGACCAGGGCUACACACGUGCUACAAUGGCAUAUACAAAGAGAAGCGACCUCGCGAGAGCAAGCGGACCUCAUAAAGUAUGUCGUAGUCCGGAUUGGAGUCUGCAACUCGACUCCAUGAAGUCGGAAUCGCUAGUAAUCGUAGAUCAGAAUGCUACGGUGAAUACGUUCCCGGGCCUUGUACACACCGCCCGUCACACCAUGGGAGUGGGUUGCAAAAGAAGUAGGUAGCUUAACCUUCGGGAGGGCGCUUACCACUUUGUGAUUCAUGACUGGGGUGAAGUCGUAACAAGGUAACCGUAGGGGAACCUGCGGUUGGAUCACCUCCUUACCUUAAAGAA